GACGAACCGAGCGAACGUUGUUCGGAAUAACUGGGCUUAAAGGGCGCGUAGGCGGGCCGCCAAGUUCGAGGUGAAAUCCUCCGGCUCAACCGGAGAACUGCCUCGAAUACUGGAGGCCUCGAGGCGGGUAGGGGCACGCGGAACUGUGGGUGGAGCGGUGAAAUGCGUUGAUAUCCACAGGAACUCCGGUGGCGAAGGCGGCGUGCUGGACCCGAUCUGACGCUGAGGCGUGAAAGCCAGGGGAGCAAACGGG
rnacentral:rRNA from 1 species